GUUGUUGGCGUCCCGCCAAGGAGCACCAUAAAAAGCAACAUAGAGAAUAAAGUGCUUCGAUUUAUUCUCAAAUCUUAAGAAGCUAAGCUCAUAUUAGGCGGUUUUUGGUCAGGUAUGUGUCGAAAAUUAAUCAAAAACUAAACAUGUAGAAAGCUUUUUGAUUGCUUGUUUGGACGAGAGUUCGAUUCUCUCCGGCUCCACAA
rnacentral:tmRNA from 1 species